CCUACGGGUGGCAGCAGUGGGGAAUAUUGGACAAUGGGCGAAAGCCUGAUCCAGCCAUGCCGCGUGUGUGAAGAAGGCCUUCGGGUUGUAAAGCACUUUCAGUGGGGAAGAAAGCCUUGGGGCUAAUACCCUCGAGGAAGGACAUCACCUACAGAAGAAGCACCGGCUAACUCCGUGCCAGCAGCCGCGGUAAUACGGAGGGUGCGAGCGUUAAUCGGAAUUACUGGGCGUAAAGCGCGCGUAGGCGGUCUGAUAAGCCGGUUGUGAAAGCCCCGGGCUCAACCUGGGAACGGCAUCCGGAACUGUCAGGCUAGAGUGCAGGAGAGGAAGGUAGAAUUCCCGGUGUAGCGGUGAAAUGCGUAGAGAUCGGGAGGAAUACCAGUGGCGAAGGCGGCCUUCUGGACUGACACUGACGCUGAGGUGCGAAAGCGUGGGUAGCAAACAGGAUUAGAUACCCCAGUAGUC
rnacentral:rRNA from 1 species